ACCUUGUUGAAGCAAUUAUCAUAGUCGUUGAGGGACUAUCCAUCUUGUGGCAUGACAGCAAGUAAGCACUCUGAACUUUUCUUUUGCUUGUAGAUGUUGAUGAAGUGUGCUGUGAAUAAUCAGCCUAAUUUCUUAGAAGAGUGUAUUGAGUUUGGCUUUAGCCUGAUGUACUACAAUCAAGUUACCAUCCAAAAAGCAACUUGGAAAGCUUGGUAAAGUACUACAUUGAUGCCUCCCUAAGGCAUCAUGAGGACCUUGAAGCUCUCUAAGUGGUUGAGGGGAUCAAUAGUCCCAUCA
rnacentral:lncRNA from 1 species